AGUUUAUCCAUGAGGGGAUAUAGUGUGUUUCAAUUUAAGCCCUUUUGUCUACAAGCAGUAGAGACCCGCUCAGCUCAUUUGGAUUGAAUUUAUAAUUUGUCUCCUAAAGAAGAUUUUUAUAGGAAACGUGUAAGAACUGAACUCUAUGCUGAAAAUUUAGUUCAAGCUAUUUAGACUUUAUAAUGUUGCUGUAAUGUGAAAUGAAUCCAGCAGGGGUGAUUGUGAGGGUAAUCAUUGUCUUGUGAUCGGAAAGUCAUUGACAAUUAAUACUGCUGUGUGAAACAGCCACUCUUGCCCAUUGUCUCCCAGGACACAUUUUCCCUAGACGAGUCUCAUUUCUCUCUUAA
rnacentral:lncRNA from 1 species